CUUGGUCAUUUAGAGGAAGUAAAAGUCGUAACAAGGUUUCCGUAGGUGAACCUGCGGAAGGAUCAUUAUCGUAUAAUGGAGGUGCCGGGGCUGUCGCUAUCUUUGUGCACGCCCUGGUGCUCUCUCACAAUCCAUCUCACCCCUUUUGUGCAUCACCGCGUGGGUGCUCUCCUUUUGAAAAGGGAGCAUUUUGCGCUUUUACACAGACCCACUGCAUGUCUAGAAUGUCUUAGUAUUUGCGAUAAUAUGCAAUCAAUACAACUUUCAACAACGGAUCUCUUGGCUCUCGCAUCGAUGAAGAACGCAGCGAAAUGCGAUACGUAAUGUGAAUUGCAGAAUUCAGUGAAUCAUCGAAUCUUUGAACGCACCUUGCACCCCUUGGUAUUCCGAGGGGUACACCCGUUUGAGUGUCGUGAAAUUCUCAACCUCCCCAAUUUUUAUUGGGGGAAGGCUUGGACUUUGGAGGCAAUUAUGCUGGUUUCCCUUUUUGAAGCCAGCUCCUCUUAAAUGAAUUAGUGGGGUCCCUUCUUUGCCGGUCCCUCGACGUGAUAAGAUUUCUCUACGUCCGAGGUUUGGCUCACUUGUAGGCCCGCUUCUAACCGUCUCUCUCCUUAAGAGACAUGUUUGAACCCUUUGACCUCAAAUCGGGUGAGACUACCCGCUGAACUUAAGCAUAUCAAUAAGCGGAGGA
rnacentral:rRNA from 1 species